rnacentral:rRNA from 1 species
UACAGAGGUCCCGAGCGUUGUUCGGAUUUACUGGGCGUAAAGGGUGCGUAGGUGGUGGAGUAAGUUUGAUGUGAAAUCUCCGGGCUUAACCCGGAAACUGCAUUGAAUACUAUUCCGCUGGAGGUUUGGAGGGGGGACUGGAAUUCUCGGUGUAGCAGUGAAAUGCGUAGAUAUCGAGAGGAACACCAGUGGCGAAGGCGAGUCCCUGGACAACACCUGACACUGAGGCACGAAAGCUAGGGGAGCAAACAGG